rnacentral:lncRNA from 1 species
CACGUCUUUACCCCAACAUGGACAUGUGCUGGGUUCCUCCUCAAAAGCGGGUAAAGCCCCCAGGCGCGGUGGCUCACGCCUGUAAUCCCAGCACUGUGGGAGGCUGAGGUGGGUAGAUCACCUGAGCUCAAGAGUUUGAGACCAGCCUGACCAACACGGUGAAACCCCGUCUCUACUAAAAAUACAAAAUUAGCCGAGCGUGGUGCCGGGCACCUAUGGUCCCUGCUACUCAGGAGGCCGAGGCAGGAGAAUCACUUGAAUCCGGGAGCAGAGGUUGCAGUGAGCCGAGAUCAUGCCACUGCACUCCAGCCUGGGAGACAGAGCGAAACUCCAUCUCAAAAAAAAAAAAAAAAAAGUGGGCCGGGCACAGUGGCUCACACGUGUAAUCCCAGCACUUUGGGAGGCCGAGGCCAGCGGAUCACAAGGUCAGGAGUUCGAGACCAACCUGGCCACCAUGGUGAAACCCCGUCUCUACUAAAAAUACAAAAAUUAGCUGGCCGUGGUGGUGCGCGCCUGUAAUCCCAGCUACUUGGGAGGCUGAGGCAGGAGAAUUGUUUGAAGCCGGGAGGUGGAGAUUGCAGUAAGCCGAGAUCGCGCCACUGCACUCCAGCCUGGGCGACAGAGCGAGGCUCUAUCUCAAAAAAGAAAAAAGAGUGGUGACAGCCGACCAAAAGUGGCUCAAGAGACAUCCUUCUGCCUUAGGGUCCCGCUGGCCCCAGGAAAGCUCCUUUCGUGCCUCCUGAGGACUCUGGGACGGAGAGGUCUGGAGGCCACAGCCAGCUCGCCCCCGCCCCCGCCUACGUCCUGCUUUCUGGCCGCUGCCUCUGGUCUGCUGCAGUCAAAGGAGCAGGGCCAGCCCUGAGCUCCCACCCAGCGCCAGUGGGGGACAACGUGGUGUCAGAGGCUCCUCUAGAGGGAAGGCGAAGAAGCCGCUUGGGAUCCUUGGGGUGGGGUGGCUGGGCCUGCAGGGGUCGACAGCUUGGGUCCCUCGGGCCACCCUGGGGAGCUGAUGGCUGGUGGAGGGUAGGGCCCCACUUUGUGCUUCCUGCUGUGAUGGGCGAAGGUGGAUGGGGAUCCCUGGAGCAGCCGGUGCUCCGCCCCAUGUGGGCUCCUGCGGGAUUCGGGGGACAGGGACUCUGAGCCUUCCCAUGUGGGGGGCCUGGAUGUCUCUAUCCCCUGGCAGUCACGAAAACUCAAGCCACAUCCCCCACCAGUGCAGGGACCCAGUGGCUUCACAACCCACCCACCUGGGAUAAAGGACAAAUGGCCCAGGUGGGGUGAAGCCAGGGGAGGGACGGGCAGAACCACGUCAGGUUCAGGACACUGCGAAGCUCCUAUACCCCUGGGGCCAGGGCCAGGCUGCACAGGGUUCAGAGAUGGAUCCCCGGUAAGAGGUUCAGACACAGGUUCCCAGAACAGGCCCCAAGCUUCCAACAGCAGUGGGGUAAGGACCUCCUGGAGUGGAAGUUGGGGGGUCUCAGGAGCAGAGGCUGAACCCCGGGUUACUUAUAGACCCCCUAAAGUGGAAGUUGGGGGGUCUCAGGAGCAGGGGCUGAACCCCAGGUUACUUACAGACCCCCUGGAGUGGAAGUUGGGGGGUCUCAGGAGCAGAGGUGGAACCCUGGGUUACGUACCGACCUCCUGGAGUGGAAGUUGGGGGGGGUCUCAGGAGCAGAGGUGGAACCCCGGGUUACGUACCGACCCCCUGGAGUGGAAGUUACUUACAGGGGCUGUGUGACUACUCCGGCCUCCUGGGACCCCCAUGGCAAUGCUCCAGGCAGCCACCGCCCUCUCGAGGUCGUCCCUUCCUGUGACUGGCACCUGGGAGCUGAGCUGGCUGCAGCAGGGCCACCGGCCGGGACACCCCACAGAGCAGUCACUGGCUGGCCCUGGAGCUCCCCAUCUGACUAGAUUGAUGGACUGAUGGAUAGGAGGCCCCGCCAGGCCCAAGCCCACAGGCCAGAUGGGCACCUCUCCGUGCAGCCCCCCCCAGUCAGCCUUGUGGGUAGGUGUAGGGAGGCGUGGUGGCGAGGCAGGGCACGGGAUGGGAGAAGGGUACCUGGGGCCUGGCACUCAAAGAUGAGUGACGAGGUGGGAGGUGGGGACAGCCAGAGGCCCUCACAGCCCUGAUGGGGCUGGAAGACGCCAAGGCCCAGAGAUGGGGUCCGGGGCUCCAGGUCAGAUCAAGGAAAAACCCAGCCCAGGCGGGCAUGCCCGGCUCCCUUCCGCGGCGCCACAGCGGCUUCGAGCCAGGCAGAGCAAAAUCCCCGAGGAAAGGCGUCCCUCCCCAGCUCUCACCUCCCCAGACCCGGCAGGGUUGCCGGGACGACGGCUCAGGCCUUCCGGAGGUUGCCACAGAGCCAGGAGCCCAGGGCUGCCCCAGCCCACGCCCGGCUGCUCGUCCCCCGUGCUCCUGCCCUCUCGGGAGCAGCGUCCCUGUGUCCACGGGAGGGAUCGCACCGCGGGGCCCCUGCCCCACCGCUAGUGGGGUCCAUCUUCCUCUGGAGACCCCGGUGUGUGUAAGCAGAGCUGAGGACUGAUCUUUAAGCUGCCUCCUGGCCCUGCUCGUGAGUCUCAGGAAACUGUGACACUCACCUGGCCCGGGGGUCCUGGCCCAGGGGUCCCCGCUCCAGGAGCCACCCAGCAAAGGGAAAAGGAGAGGGCACUCCUGAGGGUACAUGGCCCACUCACAGGGGGUACAGCCUUGUGUGGCAGGAGGGACGGAGCCCGGCUGUCCCAUCGCAGUGACUCCAACCUCUAAUAAGCCUCAAGACACUCGGGGCUCGGGCGGCGAGAUCCUGGCAACAGAGUAGGGUAGACGUUGGGGCCUCAGGGCCCCCAGCUGGCUCCUGAGGCACAGGCGGCGCGGCCCUCACUCUGGCCACAGCAGCCAAAUGCUCCCGUCCUUAUUCACAGGCUGGGGGUGUGCGGCAGGGAGAGGAGGGUCCUGACCGAUCUCACCGGGACCCAGGUCCUGGCCCUCCCGCCCGUGGGUUGCCACACCCCACGGCCCGAGGUUGACAUGGCCACACAGCUUUGGUAAAGACUUUUAAGAGAAAGAAGUAUUUUAAAAAGUAGCAGUGCUCUGAGGCUCAGGGUGUAGGAUCGGGGGCACAGCCUGGUCCCGG